AGUUCGAUCAUGGCUCAGAUUGAACGCUGGCGGAUGCUUACACAGCGCAAGUCGAACGGCAGCACGGACUUCGGUCUGGUGGCGAGUGGCGAACGGGUGAGUAAUGUAUCGGAAACGUGCCUAGUAGGGGGAUAACUACGCGAAAGCGGUAGCCAUACCGCAUACGCCCUUCGGGGGAAAGUGUGGACCUCGGGCCUUCAAAUUAGAGCGGCCGAUAUCGGAUUAGCCGUUGGUGGGGUACCCGCUCACCAAGGCGACGAUCCGUAGCUGGUUUGAGAGACGACCAGCCACACUGGGACUGAGACACGGCCCAGACCUCCUACGGGGAGGCAGCAGUGGGGAAUUUUGGACAAUGGGGAAAACCCUGAUCCAGCCAUCCCGCGUGUGCGAUGAAGGCCUUCGGGUUGUAAAGCACUUUUUGGCAGGAGAAACGGUACCGGGAUGUUCCUGUGCAACUGACGGUACCUGCAACAAGCACCGGCUAACUACGUGCCAGCAGCCGCGGUAAUACGUAGGUGCAAGCGUUAAUCGGAAUUACUGGGCGUAAAGCGUGCGAGGCGGUUCGAAAAGAAAGAUGUGGAAAUCCAGAGCUUAACUUUGGAACUGCAUUUUUAACUACCGAGCUAGAGUGUGUCAGAGUGGAGGUGGAAUUCGCGUGUAGCGGUGAAAUGCGUAGAUACGUGAGAACACCGACGGCGAAGGCAGCCUGAUAACACUGACGCUCAUGCACGAGCGUGGGGAGCAAACAGGAGUUGAUAUAUUCCUGGUAGUCCACGCUCCUGCAACGAUGCCAACUAGCUGUUGGGGCCUUCGGGCUCUUGGUAGCGCAGUUAACGCGUGAAGUUGACCGCCUGGGGAGUACGGUCGCAAGAUUAAAACUCAAAGGAAUUGACGGGGACCCGCAAGCGGUGGAUGAUGUGGAUUAAUUCGAUGCAACGCGAAAAACCUUACCUACCUCGACAUGUCUGGAAUCCUGAAGAGAUUUGGGAGUGCUCGCAAGAGAACCGGAACACAGGUGCUGCAUGGCUGUCGUCAGCUCGUGUCGAGAUGCUGGGCGUUGGUGUCCUGCAACGAGCGCAACCCUUGUCAUUAGUUGCCAGAAAGGGCACUCUAAUGAGACUGCCGGUGACAAACCGGGAGGAAGCGGGGAUGACGUCAAGUCCUCAUGGCCCUUAGCGGUAGGGCUUCACACGUCAUACAAUGGUCGGGACAGAGGGUCGCCAACCCGCGAGGGGGAGCCAAUCCCAGAAACCCGAUCGUAGUCCGGAUCGCAGUCUGUAAACUGACCGAAGUCGGAAUCGCUAGUAAUCGCGGAUCAGCAUGUCGCGGUGAAUACGUUCCCGGGUCUUGUACACACCGCCCGUCACACCAUGGGAGUGGCCACCAGAAGUAGUUAGCCUAACCGUAAGGAGGGCGAUUACCACGGUAGGAUUCAUGAUCAGUGAAGUCGUAACAAGGUAG
rnacentral:rRNA from 1 species